UGUCCACAUCAUGUUGAAACACUGGUUCUCAUAGGAUCACUGAAAUGAAGCAAUAUUGAGCCUGGUCAGUACCUAGAUGGCUGACUGCUUAGGAAUACCAAGUGCUGUAUG